GAGACUCUGUGCGCGUGCAUAUCAAUAAGCGGAGGAAAAGAAACUAACAAGGAUUCCCUUAGUAACGGCGAGUGAAGCGGGAAGAGCUCAAAUUUGAAAUCUUCAAGGUUCUACCUUGACGAAUUGUAGUUUAAAGAAGUGUUUUCUGUUAGAUGAGUAGCAAAAGUUCCUUGGAAUGGGACAUCAUAGAGGGUGAGAAUCCCGUAUUUGGUUAUUCAUUCUAGCUUUGUGAUACACUUUCAAAGAGUCGGAUUGUUUGGGAAUGCAGUCCAAAAUGGGUGGUAAAUUUCAUCUAAGCUAAAUAUUGGCGAGAGACCGAUAGCGAACAAGUACCGUGAGGGAAAGAUGAAAAGAACUUUGAAAAGAGAGUUAAACAGUACGUGAAAUUGUCAAAAGGGAAGCGUUUGACACCAGUGUUGUUUUUCCGAAAAUCAAUUACGAAUGGCUUGAUUUUGUGUUGUAUUGACCUUAUCAGCUUUCUUCACUUUUUUCGAGUCUUUCUUAAUGCACUUUUCGGUUAACAAGUCAACAUCAAUUUCUUUUGUUGUAAAAGAGUAUUCGGAAGGUGGCUUUCUUUUCGGAGAAAGUGUUUAUAGCCCUAUACUUCUACAAUCGGAGAGAUUGAGGUCUGCAGCGUAGAUCCUUCGGGGUUAGAUACACUUGUGCUAAGUUGUAGCUUUUCAUAGACAACUUGUUGACUAUGUUUAGUCAUGCGGCUUACUCGCUUAUGCUAUUUUACCUACGCUUAGGAUGUUGACUGAUAUGUAGUCGU
rnacentral:rRNA from 1 species